rnacentral:rRNA from 1 species
GUAGUCCACGCCGUAAACGAUGGAUACUAGCUGUUCGGUAGCAAUACUGAGUGGCUAAGCGAAAGUGAUAAGUAUCCCACCUGGGGAGUACGGUCGCAAGACUGAAACUCAAAGGAAUUGACGGGGGCCCGCACAAGCGGUGGAGCAUGUGGUUUAAUUCGAUGAUACGCGAGGAACCUUACCAGGGCUUAAAUGUAGUCUGACAGGCUUAGAAAUAGGCUUUUCUUCGGACAGAUUACAAGGUGCUGCAUGGUUGUCGUCAGCUCGUGCCGUGAGGUGUCAGGUUAAGUCCUAUAACGAGCGCAACCCCUGUUGUUAGUUGCCAGCGAGUAAUGUCGGGAACUCUAGCAAGACUGCCGGUGCAAACCGUGA